CACAGACAAGAGAGUUCAAACCUUUAAUAGAAAAAGGCAAUGCGACUUUUGCAAAGUACAGUUAUACAAGAAAUACUUUUGAAUACCAAUUUAUGACAGACGCAACAAACAGAUCUGAGGUUGACUUGGUCUGGACAAAUUCUGACGAGUUUAACGUAAUGAACUUCGACAUUGAUGCCUCCAUAGAUGUCCUAUAUAAUUUUGAUCAUAUUCCACCUGUGCCAAGAUACAUAAGGAAUAUGAAAUUUGGAAUUGUUGACGCGAACGUGUUGGUCAUUCAUUAUAGACUUGGACAAAGUGGCGAGUACGAAGUUAACAAGGAAAGGUUUACUUGCUCACAGCCUUCUGAUCACAACCCAAUAGCUAAUAAAGUUCUGGAAUGUAGGAUGAACAAUGGUACCAAUGUAUUUCAGGUCGAUUCGGGCGACAGAUACGUUCUGAACUACACGGUUACUACAGGCGGGUACAGAGAACUUGUCAAUACAGACAAUGACCAACUUUAUCGUACUGAGAUAUAUGAUGGAGUAAGUUCUUAUCAGCUUAUGGAGUAUCGGUUUGACUACGAUAAACCAGUUCAUUGCCAAGAACUAAAUAAUUGUUCUUCUGGUGAUGUUACACUUCAGCUUGAAGAGGACAUA